rnacentral:rRNA from 1 species
UACGGAGGAUCCAAGCGUUAUCCGGAUUCAUUGGGUUUAAAGGGUGCGUAGGCGGCUUAUUAAGUCAGCGGUGAAAGCCUGGAGCUUAACUCCAGAACUGCCAUUGAUACUGAUGAGCUUGAGUACACUUGAAGUGGGCGGAAUGUGUCGUGUAGCGGUGAAAUGCUUAGAUAUGACACAGAACACCGAUUGCGAAGGCAGCUCACUAAAUUGUAACUGACGCUGAGGCACGAAGCGUGGGGAUCAAACAGG